AUUGAACGCUGGCGGCAUGCCUUACACAUGCAAGUCGAACGGCAGCACGGGAGCAAUCCUGGUGGCGAGUGGCGAACGGGUGAGUAAAGUAUCGGAACGUGCCCAGUCGUGGGGGAUAACGUAGCGAAAGUUACGCUAAUACCGCAUACGAUCUAUGGAUGAAAGCGGGGGAUCGCAAGACCUCGCACGAUUGGAGCGGCCGAUAUCAGAUUAGGUAGUUGGUGGGGUAAAGGCUCACCAAGCCGACGAUCUGUAGCUGGUCUGAGAGGACGACCAGCCACACUGGGACGGAGAAACGGCCCAGACUCCCACGGGAGGCAGCAGUGGGGAAUUUUGGACAAUGGGCGAAAGCCUGAUCCAGCCAUGCCGCGUGCAGGAUGAAGGCCUUCGGGUUGUAAACUGCUUUUGUACGGAACGAAAAGGUUUGGCCUAAUAAGCUGAGCUCAUGACGGUACCGUAAGAAUAAGCACCGGCUAACUACGUGCCAGCCGCCGCCGUAA
rnacentral:rRNA from 1 species